rnacentral:rRNA from 1 species
UACGAAGGGGGCUAGCGUUGCUCGGAAUCACUGGGCGUAAAGCGCACGUAGGCGGAUUGUUAAGUCAGGGGUGAAAUCCUGGAGCUCAACUCCAGAACUGCCUUUGAUACUGGCGAUCUUGAGUCCGGGAGAGGUGAGUGGAACUGCGAGUGUAGAGGUGAAAUUCGUAGAUAUUCGCAAGAACACCAGUGGCGAAGGCGGCUCACUGGCCCGGUACUGACGCUGAGGUGCGAAAGCGUGGGGAGCAAACAGA